rnacentral:rRNA from 1 species
GUGACUACGUCACCCUGAAUGCCCCAGUGAUUUUUGUCAGUUCUCAGAAGCUAAGCAAAGUUGAGCCUGGUUAGUACUUGGAUGAAAGACUUCCUGGAGCAUACCAAGUGUUCUAAGCU